rnacentral:tRNA from 1 species
GUGCCCGUAGCUCAAGUGGAUAGAGCGUAGGAUUGCGGAUCCUGAGGUUAGGGGUUCAAGUCCCCUCGGGCACG